rnacentral:rRNA from 1 species
CCUACGUGGGGCAGCAGUGAGGAAUAUUGGUCAAUGGACGAGAGUCUGAACCAGCCAAGUAGCGUGAAGGAUGACUGCCCUAUGGGUUGUAAACUUCUUUUAUAUGGGAAUAAAAUGUUCCACGUGUGGGAUUUUGUAUGUACCAUAUGAAUAAGGAUCGGCUAACUCCGUGCCAGCCGCCGCGGUAAUACGGAGGAUCCGAGCGUUAUCCGGAUUUAUUGGGUUUAAGGGGAGCGUAGGUGGAUUGUUAAGUCAGUUGUGAAAGGUUGCGGCUCAACCGGAAAAUUGCAGUUGAAACUGGCAGGCUUGAGGACAGUAGAGGUGGGCGGAAUUCGUGGUGUAGCGGUGAAAUGCUUAGAUAUCACGAAGAACUCCGAUUGCGAAGGCAGUUCACUGGACUGCAACUGACACUGAGGCGCGAAAGUGUGGGUAUCAAACAGGAUUAGAUACCCUGGUAGUC